rnacentral:misc_RNA from 1 species
AAGUUGUAACAAGGUUUCCGUAGGUGAACCUGCGGAAGGAUCAUUAACACGUAUCCUUGGGGAUGCCAGGUCACUAGAUGCAAUCGCUCAACCGUAGCUAUAAAAUAUCACAAUCUGCAGAGGUCCCUGACUCAAAAGCUGGUCUACAAUGAUUUACCAGGGAUUGCUGCUUUCACGGGCUACAGGAGCAAGCUGAAAGUUCACGGGGUUGUUUUAACGUUUAAUCAGUGUGCUGAAAGUGUCAUUGAUUGUGUAAGGAUGGCGCAGUCACGAUCGCUGUAGGCCCACACGGCCGGCGACGGUCACCGGGCUCUGCUCCUUUACGACAACUACAGUCUAACUUCGCCGCGCGUGAAAUUCGCACGGCACCAAAAACCGAACAACUGUUAACAAUGGAUAUCUUGGUUCUC